rnacentral:lncRNA from 1 species
ACUGAAGAGACUCAAUGUCCUUGAAAGCACUUUUCUUUUUAUUAUGUUCAAAAUUCAGCAACGAAAACUGCUCGUCUUGCUUCUACGGAAGCUGUAAGGACGAGAAAGUGGAGCGCUGUCGCGGAAAGAGGCAGAAAUUUGGUGACACAAGAGCGAUCUCAGGACAGGGUGGAGCCAGGGAUCAGGACUGUGGUGCCCAGUCCCAGCUCAGCUAAGCCAAUGUGCGUCUUUGGCUUGAAUGGAGGUGCAAUAAAGCGAGGGCACUUUCUGCGAGAUCUGGAAGGACCCUUGGAACUGAUCUCAUCCUGCCUCCCUCUGGGAAGCCAGGGAAGGCCUGAGCCCUACGGGGUGAUGACAACCGGCCUCUGCCCAGGGCAUGCUGUCGAGGUCCUGGAGAGAUCUGUUUCCCUGGUCACACUGGGACAGUGUCAGCUCCCAUCCAUCUGGUCCGGUCGUUUAGAUUAAGUGCUGAGAGGUGUAGCUCUUCCUAUACCUGCUGGACUACAGAAAGGCAGGCAGCCACUGCCUAGAGAAGGGUGAGGACUGCAGAGACCAAACAGCUCCUCCCAUGUCCACAUCAGCCCUGUCUGAGCAGAUCCUAGAACGUAGCCUGCUUUGCCGCCUUCUCUGCCUGCAGCACUCUGCCU